UAAGCAUAUCAAUAAGCGGAGGAAAAGAAACCAACAGGGAUUGCCCCAGUAACGGCGAGUGAAGCGGCAACAGCUCAAAUUUGAAAUCUGGCCCCAGGCCCGAGUUGUAAUUUGCAGAGGAUGCUUUUGGCGCGGUGCCUUCCGAGUUCCCUGGAACGGGACGCCAUAGAGGGUGAGAGCCCCGUACGGUUGGACACCAAGCCUUUGUAAAGCUCCUUCGACGAGUCGAGUAGUUUGGGAAUGCUGCUCUAAAUGGGAGGUACAUUUCUUCUAAAGCUAAAUAUUGGCCAGAGACCGAUAGCGCACAAGUAGAGUGAUCGAAAGAUGAAAAGCACUUUGAAAAGAGGGUUAAACAGCACGUGAAAUUGUUAAAAGGGAAGCGCUUGUGACCAGACUUGCGUCCGGUGAAUCACCCAGCUCUCGCGGCUGGGGCACUUCGCCGGCACAGGCCAGCAUCAGCUUGCCGUCGGGGACAAAAGCUUCAGGAACGUGGCUCCUCUCGGGGAGUGUUAUAGCCUGUUGCAUAAUACCCUUCGGCGGGCUGAGGUACGCGCUCCGCAAGGAUGCUGGCGUAAUGGUCAUCAGCGACCCGUCUUGAAACACGGACCAAGGAGUCAACCUUAUGUGCGAGUGUUUGGGUGUUAAACCCCUACGCGUAAUGAAAGUGAACGCAGGUGAGAGCUUCGGCGCAUCAUCGACCGAUCCUGAUGUUCUCGGAUGGAUUUGAGUAAGAGCAUAUAGGGUUGGACCCGAAAGAAGGUGAACUAUGCGUGUGUAGGGUGAAGCCAGAGGAAACUCUGGUGGAGGCUCGCAGCGGUUCUGACGUGCAAAUCGAUCGUCAAACAUGCGCAUGGGGGCGAAAGACUAAUCGAACCCUUCUAGUAGCUGGUUUCCGCCGAAGUU
rnacentral:rRNA from 1 species